CAAGCUUCUCAUUAUUGCAAUGCAUGUUUACAGAUAAGCAAGAGGAGAAGCCUAGACUAAUCCAAGUUGUUCAUGAAGAAAGUCAAACUCUAAAACAUUUAAAGAGGUUUAUUCUGCGCCAAAUAUGAGUGACCAUGGCUUGAGGCAUAAUAUCAAGAGGUCCUGAGAACAUUUACCCGAGGUGGUUGGGUACAGCUUGGUUCUACACAUUUUGGGGAGGAGACAUAAGACAUCAGUCAAUACAUGUGAGGUAUACAUUGGCUCGAUAUAAAAAGGCUGGACAUUUCAAAGUGGGGGUUUUCAGGUCAUAGGUGAAGUCAAAGAUUUCUUGAUUGGCAGUUGGUUGAAGGAGUUCAGCUUAAGAUAAGGAGGGAUGUGGAAGCCAAGGUUCUCGCUGUGUAGAUGGAGCCUUCAGGUAACAGGCUUCAGAUAUAAUAGAUGGUAAAUGUAUUUUGUCAGGUUUUAAAAGAUGUUAGACUUUUAGUUAAAUCUCUCCUGUAUCGGGAAAAAACCUGGAAAGAUUUCCAUACUACUGGCAAAGAUCUCACUAAUUAGCCCUCAUAUAUUGACUUCUGUUUUCAUUUUUCUUCUUUGUAAGUGACCUCAAACAAGUCAUAUAAGCUUUCCAAAUCUCUAUCAAAUCAUCUGAAAAUGAGGAAGAUGAACAUUAUCUAACAAGACAAACACAUAUCAGCAUCAGACAAGAUGCUCCUGGUUGGCAUCCCAGUGAUACAUAUCCUUCCAGAAGGCAAGCAGCCAGUUCAUACAAAGGGAGAUUCAUUGUUGAGUAAGCAGCUCACGCACUGAGAUGUAUCUGUG
rnacentral:lncRNA from 1 species